CCUGGCCUCACGAGCAUCCUGUGUCUCCCUGAUUGAGCGCUACAGAGCUUCGGCGUGCAACCUCAUCCUCACGAUAUUUUUCAUAGAGCGUCCGCAGCCUCCGGCCUCUUCAGCUUCUCCAUCAAAUCCCUGGCCGGUUGAUUUUCCUUGCUCAUAUUCGUCUUCUUCCCUCUAGCCUUUCCCCUUCCAUGUCUUUUUCAAUCCCAGUCAAUAUUAUAUGGCUCCUCCGCUUCUUAUUCUUCCUAUUCCCAAUCUCCCUUCACCUGUCGCUUCGGCCUGCUUCCAUGGCUGGAACUACAAGGUGUCAAAUCCAACGGGGAUUUAAUUAGCGGCAGGGAUCCACGGUGGUGUUGGACUGGUGGAAAAGGUAGCCGAUUCACUGGGCAUCACCGCUUCUGACUGCCUCGAUUGGUUAUGUCAUCGUCAGUGUCAUCGACAUUGCGGACCAAUCGGCACCCUCAAUGGCGCCAGGUAGUGUGCAAGCGCGGGUACAGAUCGAUGGGUGCCCUCUACCGGCACAACUGUAUAGCAUGCAUGAUCCAUGGCGCCGGGCAACAUGCAAGCUCUGCUGCAGAUCGAUGGUUCAUAGUAGAAGCGACAAGAAAGGCAACCUGAAGGUCUCCGCGCCUUCAUGUUAGGUCCGCGAUUCCUCGAGUGCUUCUUCAUGGAGUCUGUAGGCGAAGAACUGGAGGAAGGUGAACAACACUGAGCUGCAACUCUUUAUAUUCUCUUACCCAUUUUUUUACUCUCUGCCUCUCUCCACAUCUAUUUUUCCAGGAGGAUGAAGGAUGGACGGUGACUGACAUUUAUUAGGCAGGAUUAGAUAUGCUAAAUUGUUUGAUUACCAUGGUCACCAAGGCACUUAGAUGUAUCUAUGCUUGGCCACAGAAGUCACAUUCAGUUUUCAUCUGUUUCAAUAAGCCGCUAUGAAACUGUCCGCUGAUUGUCCCUACAGUUGCUUACUAAUGUGAUCCAUGCAUGAUGUUGCUACUUUGCAGCAGUACAUAUUAUUGGCUCCUUUUCCCUACCACACUAACAGGUGGUUAAGAAAUAAUUGUACAUAAAGGAUCAAGAAACAACGGUUACUCAUUUUCUGGUAUGUUCACAUAUACUAUUAUAUCAUAUUUAUUUAUGUAGGAUCACCAAAGGUUUGUAAUUUUCUUUAAUCUUCGGAUAUAAUCUUCACCUUUAUUAACCAUGUUUGUUCUUUCUUUCUGUCUAAUAAUGUAGGAAUUAAUAAUUACCAAUCAAAAGUAAAACUAUUAUUAUGCUAACACGACUUUUGCUAAUAGUUUAAAAACACACACUAACUUCUGGUGUUUCUUUGAAUCUAGCACCUUUCUUUCUAAGAUAAAGCAUCCUUCUAUAUGUACUUAAGGUACAUUGUGAUUAAGACGAAUUAUGAAAAAAAUAUUUCUUAAAAGAUUAUAGUGUUUGUGUGUGUUCUAUCUAAACUUACAGCCAUUGAACUUUGUUCCGUUGAAUAGUUGUGUGAUUUUGGCAAAACAAAUCAUACUUUUCCGUACAUGCUCCCUACUGUAUUACUCUAAGCAUUUGACUGUUCUUCGUUUACUGGGGAGGUGUGAAAUCCAUCAUAGUUUAUGUUCCCGGUAGAGACAUUGUUUCAGUAUAUGCAUAUGUAUCUUUAUACCAUAAUUUCUGGAAAAUGGUUGUUUUAUUUAGCAAAUGUGAUAUAUUAUGAUGCCUAUGCGAGCUUCCUUUUUGUGCUGUCACGUCAUACCGGCUUCCUUUCUGUACUUCAUGCUUCAUCCUGAACAUAUAUUCUCUCAAGAAUGUUUUGUUAUCCUUUUUUUUUUUGCCGGCAAGAAUGUUUUAUUAUCCUGAACAUCUAUUUCAAGCAGCCUCUGAUUAUUUUGUCUUUAGCAUAUAUUCCCGCAGCAACGCGUGAGGUGUCAUCUAGUUUGUUAUAUGAGCCGUGGCAGCACUACGCUGUUGAUCGUGUUGGGGCCUUUGUUGGGGGAGACGAAGCGGCUCAGCAAAAAUUAGAGUUGUCUAAAAAAAAGCAAAAAUCAGAGGGUGUGCUUACGAAAUCACUAAUUAAGGAGUACUCAUUGCAAAGAUCACUCUCGUCUUCCCAGGUUGCGGCAAUUGGCGCGCUGCAUGUGUU